GCCUACGGCCACACCACCCUGAGCAUGUCUAAACCCGUCUGAUCUCAGAAGCCAAGCAGGGCUGGGCCCGGUCAGUACCUGGCUGGGAGACCGCUUGGGAAUACCAGGUGUCGUAGGCU
ensembl:rRNA 5S_rRNA 5S ribosomal RNA